rnacentral:rRNA from 1 species
UGGGGAAUAUUGCACAAUGGGCGCAAGCCUGAUGCAGCCAUGCCGCGUGUGUGAAGAAGGCCUUCGGGUUGUAAAGCACUUUCAGCGGGGAGGAAGGCGUUAAGGUUAAUAACCUUGGCGAUUGACGUUACCCGCAGAAGAAGCACCGGCUAACUCCGUGCCAGCAGCCGCGGUAAUACGGAGGGUGCAAGCGUUAAUCGGAAUUACUGGGCGUAAAGCGCACGCAGGCGGUCUGUCAAGUCGGAUGUGAAAUCCCCGGGCUCAACCUGGGAACUGCAUUCGAAACUGGCAGGCUAGAGUCUUGUAGAGGGGGGUAGAAUUCCAGGUGUAGCGGUGAAAUGCGUAGAGAUCUGGAGGAAUACCGGUGGCGAAGGCGGCCCCCUGGACAAAGACUGACGCUCAGGGGCGAAAGCGUGGGGAGCAAACAGG